rnacentral:rRNA from 1 species
GUAGGGAAUUUUCGGCAAUGGGGGAAACCCUGACCGAGCAACGCCGCGUGAGCGAAGAAGGCCUUCGGGUCGUAAAGCUCUGUUGUAAAGGAAGAACGGCGCAUACAGGAAAUGGUAUGCGAGUGACGGUACUUUACCAGAAAGCCACGGCUAACUACGUGCCAGCAGCCGCGGUAAUACGUAGGUGGCGAGCGUUAUCCGGAAUCAUUGGGCGUAAAGAGGGAGCAGGCGGCCGCAAGGGUCUGUGGUGAAAGACCGAAGCUAAACUUCGGUAAGCCAUGGAAACCGGGCGGCUAGAGUGCGGAAGAGGAUCGUGGAAUUCCAUGUGUAGCGGUGAAAUGCGUAGAUAUAUGGAGGAACACCAGUGGCGAAGGCGACGGUCUGGGCCGCAACUGACGCUCAUUCCCGAAAGCGUGGGGAGCAAAUAGGAUUAGAAACCCUAGUAGUCCG